UGGGGAAUUUUGCACAAUGGGGGAAACCCUGAUGCAGCGACGCCGCGUGAUUUAGAAGGCCUUCGGGUUGUAAAAAUCUUUUCUAUGGGAAGAAAAUGACAGUACCAUAGGAAUAAGGACCGGCUAAUUACGUGCCAGCAGCCGCGGUAAUACGUAAGGUCCGAGCGUUGUCCGGAAUCAUUGGGCGUAAAGGGUACGUAGGCGGGUAAGCAAGUUAGAAGUGAAAUCCUAUAGCUCAACUAUAGUAAGCUUUUAAAACUGCUCAUCUUGAGCUAUGGAAGGGAAAGUGGAAUUCCUAGUGUAGCGGAGAAAUGCGCAGAUAUUAGGAGGAAUACCGGUGGCGAAGGCGACUUUCUGGCCAUAACCUGACGCUGAGGUACGAAAGCGUGGGUAGCAAACAGG
rnacentral:rRNA from 1 species